rnacentral:lncRNA from 1 species
CUCGUAAAGCUCCUUGGGGCUCACAGCAUUGCCUCCAAGCAGGAUAAGAACACGGGGAACCAGCGUCAAGCUGAACAUCGCUUCCAGGUGUUGCAGCACUCCCUCCAGCUCCACCAGCACCUGCUGGCACUUCUUGCUUGCCAGGCCCACAGAGGGCGGCUUCUUGAUCACAUCUCCAUCCUGCGCGGCCCGCCGGCAGAAGUAGGCGAGCUGUUCGUAGGGCAGCGGGAGCUGGUGCCGCUGGUGCAGGACGUGCUUCAGGAGCUCGCAGGCGAAGCGGCAGCAGCUCUCUCGGCUCACGGCGCCUGGGAACACCACGGACACGGCGGGGCUGAGCGCCGCCGGCGCGCUCCGCCGGGACCUCCUCCCGCUACGGCCGCGCUCCAGGGCCGACGGCGUCUCCGCCGUGAGAAGCGGGGAGGCCUGAGAACCCGGAGCCGCCAUCACACCAGGCGACUCCGUUCCCCCCAGCGCAGCCAUUUUCUAGGCGGCGGCGGAGGCGGCCCG